CCUACGGGAGGCAGCAGUGAGGAAUAUUGGUCAAUGGGCGCGAGCCUGAACCAGCCAAGUCGCGUGAGGGAAGACGGUCCUAUGGAUUGUAAACCUCUUUUGUCGGGGAGCAAAAGACGCCACGUGUGGCGUUCCGAGAGUACCCGAAGAAAAAGCAUCGGCUAACUCCGUGCCAGCAGCCGCGGUAAUACGGAGGGGGCAAGCGUUAUCCGGAUUUACUGGGUGUAAAGGGAGCGUAGACGGCCAUGCAAGUCUGAUGUGAAAACCCGGGGCUCAACCCCGGGACUGCAUUGGAAACUGUGCGGCUGGAGUGUCGGAGAGGCAAGUGGAAUUCCUAGGGUAGCGGUGAAAUGCGUAGAUAUUAGGAGGAACACCAGUGGCGAAGGCGGCUUGCUGGACGACGACUGACGUUGAGGCUCGAAAGCGUGGGGAGCAAACAGGAUUAGAUACCCCUGUAGUC
rnacentral:rRNA from 1 species